GUCAAUAUGUCCGAGUGGUUAAGGAGACAGACUCAAAAUCUGUUGGGCUAUGCUUGCGUAGGUUCAAAUCCUGUUGUUGACG